AAUAAACGCUGGCGGCGUGCCUAACACAUGCAAGUCGAGCGAGAAAGCUCCUUCGGGAGUUAGUAAAGCGGCGAACGGGUGAGCAACACGUGAGAAUCUACCCUUUAGUGAAGAAUACCCUCGAGAAAUCGAGGCUAAUACUGCAUACGUCCCUUCGGGGAGAAAGAUGGCCUCUUUGCUAUCGCUAAAGGAUGAGCUUGCGUACUAUUAGCUAGUUGGCGGGGUAAAGGCCCACCAAGGCAAUGAUGGUUAACCGGCCUGAGAGGGUGUACGGUCACACUGGAACUUAGACACGGUCCAGACUCCUACGGGAGGCAGCAGUGAGGAAUCUUGCGCAAUGGGCGAAAGCCUGACGCAGCGACGCCGCGUGGAGGAUGACGGUUUUCGGAUUGUAAACUCCUGUUAAGCGGGAAGAAAGCCUUGUUUCUAAUACAAGCAAGGUAUGACGGUACCGCUAGAGAAAGUACCGGCUAACUUCGUG
rnacentral:rRNA from 1 species